ACCUUGCUCAACUUGGGAGGAGGAAGCCACUUUAAAAGGGAGAGCCACCCUUCCCCCAUUGGACUAGUCUUUUGGGGCAAUUGGGCCUUUCCCAGAGCUGGGUGUGCUUAAUGAACUAUUGGGCUCCGGGCAACCCUAACUUGAUGGGCCUCAGCCAACCCCACCUGCGCUGGGUGUAUCAUCUGGUAUCGGAGCUAGGGCCCAUUUUAUGAAGGUGGGAAUGAUGAGGAUAUCCUCCACUAUUACCCGUUGGCAAAGAUGCAAUUGGCCCAGUUGGUCCAAUUGUAGUCGCACGGUGACCGUGUGAGCCUCAGAAUUAUCCCACCUUGCUUAACUUGGGAGGAGAAAGCCACUUUAAAAGGGAGAGCCACCCUUCCCCCAUUGGACUAGUCUUUUGGGACGAUUGGGCCUUUCCCUGAGUUGGGUGUGCUUAAUGAACUGUUGGGCUCUAGGCAACCCUAACUUGUUGGGCCUCGGCCAACCCCACCUGGGCUAGGUGUAUCACAGCAGGCCCAAAAGACUCAAAUUUCUAGCUUAGUACAUCCAAUGUGCAAAAGCUAAGCUAGUUUCGAGGAAAGCUACUGUUGAACACUCCUACCCUAACCCUAAAAUCUAACGAGCAAACGAGGCAACGCUAGACUCAGGGGAAGGUGGU
rnacentral:lncRNA from 1 species